GUUCUCAAGGUGUAUUUAUUAUAUGCACAUUAGGUUUUCAUCCUAAAAGAAUGGCCAAUUAGCCAUUGGGAAUU
rnacentral:tRNA from 1 species